UACGUAGGGGCGAGCGUUGUCCGGAUUUACUGGGCGUAAAGGGUGAGUAGGCGGUUGUAUAUGUCAGGUGUAAAAGGCUAUGGCUUAACCAUGGUUAGCACUUGAAACUGUACAACUUGAGUGCAGGAGAGGUAAGUGGAAUUCCUAGUGUAGCGGUGAAAUGCGUAGAUAUUAGGAGGAACACCAGUGGCGAAGGCGACUUACUGGACUGUAACUGACGCUGAGUCACGAAAGCGUGGGUAGCAAACAGGAUUAGAUACCCGCGUAGUCCCUGA
rnacentral:rRNA from 1 species